UACGAAGGGGGCUAGCGUUGCUCGGAAUCACUGGGCGUAAAGGGCGCGUAGGCGGCCAUUCAAGUCAGGGGUGAAAGCCUGUGGCUCAACCACAGAAUUGCCUUUGAUACUGUUUGGCUAGAGACCGGAAGAGGUGAGUGGAACUGCGAGUGUAGAGGUGAAAUUCGUAGAUAUUCGCAAGAACACCAGUGGCGAAGGCGGCUCACUGGUCCGGUUCUGACGCUGAGGCGCGAAAGCGUGGGGAGCAAACAGG
rnacentral:rRNA from 1 species